GGGGGCUGAUCCUUUAAAUUUGGCAGAAAGCAGCUACUGCAGCCCUUAGGUGGCCAUUUUGUAAUUUGCUACUGCUUUGAUGUGGCUCACUGUUGGUUUGUGAAGGUUCUGAGAUUUUACAAGAGCCACCUCUACCGACUGCCAGUAACACACCUAUCAACUUGAAACCUUCAUGCCAACCUGGACUCAGCAUCAGGAACCAUAAUGAGAUCAGAGAUACAGAUUACAGCAAAAUACAGUCCAGUUGGAGCUGCGGGGGUGGUGCCUGUGGCCAGGGGCAGCACGCAGAACCGCCUGGCCGCCCCUGCGCCUCGGUGCUAUAGGGACAUGCUGUCCGCUUCCGGAAGCCGCCUGAGGGUGGCUGAAACUUUCUGGAGCUGAUUGGCAUAAAGGUACAGUAGCAGUCUAUCCAUCCGGGAGACACUCUCUUCCUCCUAAGAAUGCAUUGCAGAGCCGAUGGAUAGGGUGAUGAUGAUGGCUAGUGGAUCUAUUCCACAGAUAGCAGUCACUUGGGAAGCUUGACUCUGAGCCUUCAUGCAAGAGGAGAAGGGGGCGGGGGGCUGGGAACAAGGACCAACAGGACAAAUUCCAAGUUCUAUGCGGCCUUUGCCACAGAAAUUAGGAGACUGAAUCAGAAUUGGACUCUGUGAGUUUCCAGCCACUGUGCCUCCGUGGCUGGCAAGAGCAAAGCCGGAAAUUCAGAUGAAUAGAGCCCUUAAUGUUUUUUUGUUUGACACUCAUGCUUAACAGAAAAUGAUGAAUCCAUUAGCAACUCCUUCCGCUGCCAAAAGAAACAGACUUGCACUUGUAGAUUGCUUUCAUUCUGCGCUAUCAAGCCACUGCACGCUCGGCUUUUGCAAAGUUGACAGACAUCUAUCAUUUGAAAAAUGGGCUUUUAGAGGUACAGUCCUCUGUGUCUUAAGUGUGUGUAUGUGUCUGCUUGAAUGUGUCUCAUUAAAAUGCACUGACCCAGCUGAGCCCCCAAACAGAAUCCAUGGUGGAAAGUGUCUUGUUGUCUCUUUGGUUUGAGUUAUUUCAAAGUUUGUCACUAAUUUCUCAUGACAAUGGGGGGUUCUGAAUGAUUCUGGUCUAUGAUGGUGUUUGUGAACUCCCUCAAAAAUGUGUCAG